rnacentral:piRNA from 1 species
AAAGAGUGGAAAAUGAGAAUAUGCGU